rnacentral:rRNA from 1 species
UACGGGGGGGGCAAGCGUUGUUCGGAAUUACUGGGCGUAAAGGGCUCGUAGGCGGCCAACUAAGUCAGACGUGAAAUCCCUCGGCUUAACCGGGGAACUGCAUCUGAUACUGGAUGGCUUGAGAUUGGGAGAGGGAUGCGGAAUUCCAGGUGUAGCGGUGAAAUGCGUAGAGAUCGGCAGGAACACCCAGGGGGAAACCAGUGGACUGGCACGGUGCUGACGCUCAGGUGCGAAAGCGUGGGGAGCGAACCGG